rnacentral:lncRNA from 1 species
GAAAUUCUGUGCUUUGUUUUCAUCUUCAUCUACUCCUGUCAUUUACAUCGCCUUUUACAGUUGGAUAGUAUAAGAAUAUUUGAAGAUGAGCCGUUACAAUGGUGACUUCCUUAACCUUAAAACAUCAUUUCAGGAUAUGUAUGUGGUCAGAUGUGAGAGUGGAGAAUGACAAUCAGGUAAAUGAAUUAAUGGCAUGCAAGGGUAGACUAGUGAAAUACCGGAGUCUAUCCAUGAACUCCCAUAUUCUUUGCCAUGGCCUGUUUUCUAGAACUGGAGCUGCAGAAAUCUGUCCUCCCAUUAACUUCUCAGCUGAAGGCCUGAUUUCAUUGACAAGUUU